rnacentral:rRNA from 1 species
GACGAACGCUGGCGGCGUGCUUAACACAUGCAAGUCGAACGGAAAGGCCCUGCUUUUGUGGGGUGCUCGAGUGGGGAACGGGUGAGUAACACGUGAGUAACCUGCCCUUGACUUUGGGAUAACUUCAGGAAACUAGGGCUACUACCGGAUCGGAGCCCCUGCUGCAUGGUGGGGGGUGGAAAGUUUCGGCGGUUGGGGAUGGACUCGCGGCUUAUCAGCUUGUUGGUGGGGUAGUGGCUUACCGAGGCUUUGACGGGUAGCCGGCCUGAGAGGGUGACCGGCCACAUUGGGACUGAGAGACGGCCCAGACUCGUACGGGAGGCAGCAGUGGCGAGUAUUGCACAAUGGGCGGAAGCCGGAGGCAGCAGCGCCGCGUGCGGGAUGACGGCCUUCGGGUUGUAAACCGCUUUCGCCUGUGACGAAGCGGGAGUGACGGUAAUGGGUAAAGAAGCACCGGCUAACUACGUG